UACGUAGGUGGCAAGCGUUGUCCGGAGUUAUUGGGCGUAAAGGGCGCGUAGGCGGCUUGCACAGUCAGGCGUGAAAUUCCUGGGCUCAACCUGGGGACUGCGCUUGAGACGUGUGGGCUUGAGUGGGGAAGAGGGUCGUGGAAUUCCCAGUGUAGAGGUGAAAUUCGUAGAUAUUGGGAAGAACACCGGUGGCGAAGGCGGCGACCUGGUCCUUGACUGACGCUGAGGCGCGAGAGCGUGGGGAGCAAACAGG
rnacentral:rRNA from 1 species